UCCUCCGUGGCGCAAUUGGCUAGCGCGUCUGACUGUUACAAUGUAGUAGAUCAGGAGGUUGAAAGUUCGAGCCUUUCCGGGGGAG
rnacentral:tRNA from 1 species